rnacentral:tRNA from 1 species
UAACAAGCCUUUAUGGUCUAGUUGGUUAUGACGUUGGUCUCAUACUUUAAGAUGUAUGACAUUCCUGUUCACAGGAUUGACAUCCGAAGGUCUCCAGUUCGAUCCUGGAUAAGGGCAU